GUCUACGGCCAUACCACCCUGAACACACCAGAUCUCAUCUGAUCUCAGAAGCCAAGCAGGGUCAGGCCUGGUUAGUACUUGGAUGGGAGAAAUUCUCAAUUCAAAUGAGAAUAGUUGGGAAAUAAUGAAU
rnacentral:rRNA from 1 species